rnacentral:rRNA from 1 species
GAUUACGGCCAUACCACACUGACAACGCCCGAUCUCGUCUGAUCUCGGAAGCUAAGCAGAGUUGGGCUGGGUCAGUACUUGGAUGGGUGACCUGCCUGGGAAUACCCGGUGCUGUAAGCA